UACGAAGGGGACUAGCGUUGUUCGGAAUUACUGGGCGUAAAGCGCACGUAGGCGGAUUUGUAAGUCAGGGGUGAAAUCCCGGGGCUCAACCUCGGAACUGCCUUUGAUACUGCAAAUCUCGAGUCCGAUAGAGGUGGGUGGAAUUCCUAGUGUAGAGGUGAAAUUCGUAGAUAUUAGGAAGAACACCGGUGGCGAAGGCGGCCCACUGGAUCGGUACUGACGCUGAGGUGCGAAAGCGUGGGGAGC
rnacentral:rRNA from 1 species